GGGCCCGCACAAGCGGUGGAGCAUGUGGUUUAAUUCGAUGAUACGCGAGGAACCUUACCAGGGCUUAAAUGUAGUUUGACCGGUCUGGAAACAGACUUUCUCUUCGGAGCAGAUUACAAGGUGCUGCAUGGUUGUCGUCAGCUCGUGCCGUGAGGUGUUAGGUUAAGUCCUGCAACGAGCGCAACCCCUAUUCUUAGUUGCCAGCGGUUCGGCCGGGGACUCUAAGAAGACUGCCAGCGCAAGCUGUGAGGAAGGUGGGGAUGACGUCAAGUCAGCACGGCCCUUACGUCCAGGGCUACACACGUGCUACAAUGGACAGUACAAUGGGAAGCGAAGCCGCGAGGUGGAGCAAAUCCCACAAAGCUGUUCUCAGUCCGGAUUGGAGUCUGCAACUCGACUCCAUG
rnacentral:rRNA from 1 species